rnacentral:rRNA from 1 species
GAUGAACGCUGGCGGCGUGCCUAAUACAUGCAAGUCGAGCGAACGGACGAGAAGCUUGCUUUUCUGAUGUUAGCGGCGGACGGGUGAGUAACACGUGGAUAACCUACCUAUAAGACUGGGAUAACUUCGGGAAACCGGAGCUAAUACCGGAUAAUAUUUUGAACCGCAUGGUUCAAAAGUGAAAGACGGUCUUGCUGUCACUUAUAGAUGGAUCCGCGCUGCAUUAGCUAGUUGGUAAGGUAACGGCUUACCAAGGCAACGAUGCAUAGCCGACCUGAGAGGGUGGCCGCCCCCACUGGACCGGAGCCCGGGCCCAGCCUCUGCGGGGAGGCGGCGGUGGGAAUUCUCCCGAAAGGGCCGAAGCCCGGAGGGACCACCGCGGGGUGAGUGAUGAAGUUCUUCGAAUCUAAAACUUUUUUUAUUGGGAAAAAACAUAUGUAUAAGUACCUGUCCACAUCUGGACGGUACCUAAUAAAAAAGCCACGCCUAACUCCGUC